UCAGCUCCGUCAGCGUCUGCCUUUUGGGUUCAUUUUCCUUGGUAUUGUAGCAGGGGAGUCAAACCGUUGCUUAUUAGAGACUCCACCCCAAACCGCAGAGAUCCUGCGGCAACGCUGGUGUCUUUGCAAGCAAAAUGACCGCGAAUCGGUCAAAUGCAAGGUCAGAGAUGAACGGCGUGGGAGUCAGACCGUAGGUCCAGGUCUACUCUGUUUGGCCAGAGCCGAGAUGCAAACCGCGAGCUCGCCCGGCAGCGAGCUUGGCUCCGGAUUGCGGGCGAGCAGCCAGGCAAAACCCAGCCGCGCUGCUCUCCUGUCGCGUUCGGAGAAGGCGCCGAAGGGGGCAGCGGCCGUGGGACGCGUCCCUCAAGCAGCCCUGUCGCCCCGCGAAUGGGUGCCAGCUGGAAUCGUGCACCGCGUUUCCCAGCCUCCGAUAGCAGCGAUGGGGCGGUCGGGGCGGGGGGGCACAAACAGCUUUGGGGGUGCAGCGAGCUGGCUGCUAUCCGAAAAAGACAACCGCGGUGUUUUUCUCUCUGGGAUAGCCCUGAAAGUAAAGAUAUUCAAAGCUAAACAAAAAAAAAAAAAAAAAAGAAAAUUACGUUUACUGAGCUAGAGCCUCGGCCUGUUGUCUGUCGGCUGACGGGCAAUUAAACAGGUUGUGUGUCUGUGGGUGAUAAGACAGGAGGGUGCGAGUGGGGUAUUAUUGAUAGUUUCUGGACGCACCGUGACCUGGGGAUUUACGCUGGGGAAUGAUGGAAGGGGGACAUCUGCCCUGGAACACCCUUUAUGUUCAGUUCCCAACCGGUUUGCUUUGAACAAAUGAAGCCGUGCGUCACCUGUGUGAGAAAAGCUUGCAGAGGGACGGGGCACCCGACUUCAGCUUCGAGAUCCGAUCUGGUACCGGCAGUGCUGAGCGUAAGCCUCGAGCUGAGCCUAAGCCUGGAGCUCACGAAAGUCAUGAUGGACAGCGGUGCGGGGCUUCGGGGGGGCAUCUGCUUUUCUCCUGGAUCUUCCAUUUACAGCCCCGAAAAUAAAGGUAGGCAACAUAUCUCCUGCUUUGCUGACCCCGUAGGACCCACGUUCAGGAUAAGCGAGGUGAAUGAGCGUACGUACCUACGUAUGCGUCAUUGCGACACGUAGGACGGUGCCUAAGGAUGAUACGCAGGUUAGAUGUGCGUUUUCCACCAGGCUAUGGGAUUUGUUCAGAGCUCAAAAUGAUUAUAGCUAAGGCGGGUUUUCUCCAGCAGUUGAAGUUACUGAGUGUAAUUAAACAAGGCGCAGGCGAUCCCCUGCACUAGCGAAGCUUUCCGAGGGAAUUAGCAGCAAAAUGGGAUGUAGAAUAAAACCCACCGGGCAAAUACGCCGUUCUUCCGUGCAGUCUUUCCUCCGGGAGGUUGAGACCCCCCAGGAUUCAUCCCGCUUCAGCUGCUCAGUGGUCAUGCCAGGUGCGAUGGGCAAUUACCAGCUGCAGAACCAGACACCGCGUCCCUAGCGCAUCUUGGUUGAUCCCAUGGAUGAACGUGGACGUUUGUGACUUGCCGUAUAAUAGAGGUGCCUUCUGUUUCUGGUAACACUAAUGACUUGGCAGACAGGAGGCAGAAGCAUCCUGCCUUUCAGGGUGAUGGGAGCCGUAUCUGUUUGGUAACGCUGGAUUUUUAGGUGGUGCUGGUGCUGCUGAAAAUGGCAUUUCUUCUUCUGAAACGCUGGUCUCCUGGUUCGGUUACGUUAGUUCCAGAGGCAACAUCGGCGGCAGAGAUCAGCCUCUUCGAUAACUUCGCGUCUCUCUGGAAUAUGUCCUUCCCCAACCACCUCUAGUCUAACAGCACCGAUAGUGAACGUGAAUGAACAAAUUCCGCAUGAGAGAUCUGCACGCCAGUAGGUCAGAGCUCUCCCAGGCAUUCCUACGUGACUGCUAGCUGUUUACUAUCCUAAUAUUUUUUUUUGCUAGCAGAUGAAGGAAAAUGCUCUUCCCGUCUUCCUCCCCAAAAUCACUGGCUUUGUACGCGCUCGGUGUGCUGGUGCUAGCUUCGUCGGGGAAUCGGGUCGCGGAGCUAAAAGAUGUAUUCAGAUACCGGGGUACGUUGGGCUGCUGCUAUGCUCACUCCUCCAAAUUGUUUAUUUAAAUAGAGAGGAGCCUUCUGAAGGGCAAGAGCUCAUUUUAACAGGGCUCCCGAAGGGGACUUCGGGUCAUCGGUGGGAUCGGCAGAGCUGGCAGGUUUCACGCUGCCCCGGCUGCCAAAUGAUCAGAUCUUGGAGGUGCAGCUCGGGACUGGACCUGACAUGCGUCCAGAGCAGCUCACCAUCCAGCCUAGAUAACGGCAGUUGGAAAAACAAGGUGAUUAGUGGAAGGGCAUGAACACGCAGGUCAAUAAAAUGGUGGUUAUCGUUAGAGCAGUGGAAAAAUGCUGCGUAUGACCAUCUGGGACCCGCGUAUGUGAACGUUUCUAGGCAAUUGCUGCUCAGCUCAGAGCAGACCACGUUUUGGAACCUCUCCACCCUGUUUCCCUCUCUCCUGGUGGGACCAGGGCAGACUCUUUUGUCCCUCAAUGCUUAUUUUCUCCCCCUAGUAGUGCAGUCUGUGUCUACGGUAUCUUUUUCAGAAGAAGGGUAAGAAUGGAUGAUCCAUCGAUCAGGACCUGUACCUGCAGGUAACCUCACAGAGGGCACUCUCUUUCUUUCUGGAGGACGUACCACUUUGGGAUGUCACUAAUGAUGUGAUUACAAGCUUUGGUCCAGACUCUGCUCCAGUUCAGGUUUGCCCACCCUCCCGGUUAUUUACACGGAGUGGACGGAAGCCCUGGGGCUCUCUAGGUGGGAUUGCUCCCACCUGAACGUCCCCCAUCCUUGUUCCUGCCACCGGCACGGCACAAACCCACGCGGCCGGUGGAUCCUGGCUCCGUGGGCUUGGUGUGCGUGUUGCCCAAGGGGCGUGCAGACCACGAGACUUGCUCAAGCGUGCUCUUCACCCUGCCCCGGGAACGCUUGGAGUCGUAGACCCUGCAGGGCUUGUCACCCCGUUGCUCCCGCUCACCAGGCUGGGGGAAAGCCUGAACGCCCAGCAGACCUCCCUCCCACGCUGCUUUGAAGGGUCUGUGCUAUCCCUGCCGGGCAGAGGAAAGCCAGGAGGCACCGGGGACAAAUAAAGGAUGAUGAAUCAGCCGUGCCAGGAAGUGAACCUUGUUCUUUAGGAGAGCUGGAUCUUGCCAGCACAAUAGCUGGAUUACAAAGCCAUUUCCUCCAAUUACCUUCGCUGUCAAACCUCCGUGUCGUCUGGCACUAGGAGAGCUCGGAUCCAAAUUCGUUGUGAAUUGGGGCGACGACACCAGAGAUUUCUAAAUUAAUAUCCUGCCAAGAGGAAUUGAGCUUGUUUUUUUCCAAUCAUGUCAGUUCUGAUUCCUUUGCUUGUCAGAGGAAACUUUGGCUUGCCAUCUGGUUUCAAGGGCACGGGUUAGGGAAAUUGUAGGUUGCUCGGCCCAGCACGUUGAGUUUGCUGCGCAGCGGCUGCAGGGAGCUUUGUGCCGAAAAAAGAAAAAAAAAAAAAAGAAAAAAGAAGAAAAAAAAAAAAGAAAAAAGAAGAAAAAAAAAAAAAAGAAAAGGCUUUGUAGACCCUUCUCGGCACCUGUCAAAAGUCAAAGGGGGAGACCAGAGGCAUGGGGUGAUGGUGAGAAGGACAGAGAGGGCACAAUCUUCUCCUUGAAACAGCGGGAAUGUGCACAGGGAAAUCUGAGUGUGGUAUAGGAGUCACGUAAUUCAGAAAAAAUGGAUUAAUGGGCUGUACAGAAGAUGGUUUUGUGGUGUGAGCUGAACCGGGGAGCAUUAGGAAUUGACUGGUGCAGGCAAGCAGUGUGUGAGCCCGUUCUCUGGCCCCCAUCCGCUCUUCUGGAAGAGCAAUACUAACGAGUUAAAUAACGUCCAAAGCUCGAGGGGUGCCUCCAGCCAGAAGACAGGAUCCCGCUCUAGCCACCCCCUUGGCUUUCUGCCUCGGCUCCCUUGGCAGGGAGGUCUCUGAUGUCCCCCUUCUCCGCGUGCAGCUCGGUGCCGGAGGUGGGCUGGCGCCGAAAGGUUGGCAAUGAGAUGUUUCCGCAGUGACCUCCUCUCUGCAGAAGGGUGGUGGCACAUCUCUCCUUGGUGGCUGCUCACCAGAAGUGCCUCGGAGCCCUUGCCUUUAUUCGACUCCGGGAAACGAACAGAGUGUUGCGCUUACAGGGCUUUUGGAAACCCGCAGCAGAGUGGACUGGGAUGCGUUACUGUCCUCUUUGGGUCUUCCCAAAGAAGUGUUCAAGGCCAGGCUGGAUGAGGCUUUGGGCAACGUGGUCUAGUGGAGGGUGUCCCUGCCCGUAGCAGGGGGGUUGGAACCAGAUGAUCUUUGAGGGCCCUUCCAACCCAAACCAUUCUAUGAUUCCCCGAGGAAACCAUGAGCCGUUCUGGAUGCAUUUAAAGACCAUGGUGUGUCUGCUCCGUAGGCUAGCUGAGAUACGCUCAGCUGAACGUCAAAGGACUCCUUUGCAUUGCAAAACCCACGGACCUUAAAAUUUCCAGGAAAGGAGCGGCACGUUGACCAGCUCCUGCGCUGUAAUGCCGCCUAACUGGGGUCUGGUGGCCGUGUUACCCCAAAUACGGGCUUUUACAGGCCGGCCUGACCCUGGGACAGCGGUCUCCACAGCUGAUGAUGAUGGCAAUGCUGCGGAUGCAGAAGGUAAGCUGCAGUGGGGCUGGUGGGAGUUGGGAGGGUCUGUGUGACCUUGUCCCAUCUUCAGAAAAGGGGGGAGGCACAGGUUGCGGGGGGAGGACCACGCAGCGGCAGGGGACUCCGGGAGCAGAUUUGGGGUGCUGGCGAGCUGGCCAGCUCCAUCAGCAGAGCACGCUGGUGUCUCUUGGGGGGAGAAGGAGCCUCGUGAGGUGCUCUGAGCGCUCUCGGCUGCCGGAGAAGCACGGCUCCUUUGUCAGGGCACCGGGCGUUGGCAGCGGGUCGCCUCUCCACACAGGCACGGUCGGCCCUGGGUGCCAGCGUUCCCGCCCAGCCGGUGGGAAGGGGGCACCUGCUUCCCCCCGCGCAUCCCUGCCGUCAGCUGCCAGCGCGGGGACCGUCCCCGGGGCCCCGUCCCUCCCCUCCCGGCCCCUCGCAGCCGCAGGAGAAGGGUCUCCUCCGUGCACGCGGCAUCUCGGGGCGCGCAGCGCUACCACUGCCGGCCGUGCCGGUGGGGAAUUUGGAGAGAUUUCCAGACCCCGUGAGCCAUUUGUACAGAGCCAUCUGCCUGCACUCCCCCGUCCCCCCACACUGGGUACCGAGCCCGGGUCCGGCACGGCCGUGGCGGAGCUGGAAAGACGCAGCGAUGGGCGACGUCCCUUUUCCCUUAACAUUAAACCCCCGUCCUGCCUGCGCUUCGUCCUUACAAAAGGACGAGAAACACGGGCGGCCUCGUGCUCUCCGGACGAGCCAGCAGCGGCGGAGGUGGCGGUGGUCAGCGCGGGGGCUGCGUGACCAAACACCCCGUUUAUCAUCUCCCAGCAGCCGCGGCUCCUUAUCUCUUCCCAGCGCUGGCACGGCCCGUGCCAAAAGCCAGAGCAGAAGAAAUCGGUCUCUGUGUCGUCUCCGCAGCUUUUUUUUUUGCUUUUUCUUUUUUCUUUUUUUUCCUUUUUUCCUUUUUUCCUUUUUUCCUUUUUUUCUCCUUUUUUCCUUUUUUUUCUCCUUUUUUCCUUUUUUUCUUUUUUCUCUUUUUUUCUUUUUUCUCCUUUUUUCCUUUUUUCCUUUUUUUUCCUUUUUUCCCUUUUUUUCCCCUUUUUUUCCUUUUUUUCCCUUUUUUCCUUUUUUCCUUUUUUCCUUUUUUUCCCCUUUUUUUUCCUUUUUUCCUUUUUCCUUUCCUUUUUUUUUUUUUCUCAGCCGGUGGGUCCCGUCUCGCAGCUUGCUGGGUGCUGGUGCCCUUGGGUGCUGCGCCCUUGGGUGCCGGGGUGUUUUUGGAUGCUGUGCUGUGGGAAACGCUGCUCGCGGCUGCUUCAGCGAGGGGCUUCUGGGGGCUUUCUCGCCCACGGCUUUAUAAAUUCGAACAGAAUGUGGUUUUUGAAAACUUCAGCUCUGAGGCACGCUCUCUUUUUAAAUGGUUUCAGUGGAAAUUUGCACUUCAGUGGACGUGUGGAAAAGUGGUGUUUUCAAAGUGAAAAUGAAAUGAAAACCAGCCUACCCUCUCCUCCCCCCCCUUCCCCCAGAGAAACGUUAUUUGGAAAGCGGGGCCUCUGUUUCGAAAUACCCGAAGCACAGACACAUCCUUUUCACUUCCUCCGCUUUGCCGUUCCUUUCUUUGCUUCUAUUACCCUCGUUUUCGUCACGCCUCGCCUCCGUCCCCAGCCAGCUCCCAGCUCCCCUCGUCACUCGCGGGCCGUCACGGGAGGUCUGCCGAAGUGCCUCGCGUCCCUGUUUUCCAGGGGGUUUUUGGGGGUUUUUUUGGGUUUUUUUUUGGUAAAAUGCACUCAGAACCGCAACUCCCUAUAGAACCGUUGUACUCUUUACAUAAAUUAGGCUUUAUAAUUUACGCCCACUUCCCUGGGGCUGUGCCUGUGAGCUUGGCCGCCGUGGAUCCUGCCCGUGCACGGGAAGGAAAGCGGGUGGCUUCCCCGGAGCUGCUGCUUUACGUGCAGACGGGGACCCCAUUUGCACUGGCAGCUUGCUAAAAUCCUCACGUCCCACUGCGCAUCUUUCCCUCUCCGACUGGGGAGACAAUGCUGGGUGCUGCGGUCCCGUGAGGCGGAUUUAACGCGGAGGGGUUGUGCUGCGUGAGCUCGUGCCGCGCGUCAGCUCAGACGCGGUGACCUGAGCAUCGUGUCCGAGAAAACUUUCUUAUUUAGAGGUUGUCCCCUUUGCUGGGGAAAUCUGUGCAUGGAAAUAGCUGGUAGCCAUGCCUAGCUCUUCCUCCAGCUCAUCGUCGCGCGGCCGUGCAAGAGGAACGGGCAGCACAUACAAGGAGGGGAUGUAGCAGGGUGACGGAGGCUGCGGUGGGUGACGUGACGUCGGUGCGUUCAUAGCCGGCUAGACGGAGACGCGAAGGGCGCGCCGGAUGCCGGCUGCGCGUCGUGGAGCCGGGCUGGUGGAGCUGAGACGGGAGGGAUGCUGCCGGGCGCGGGGGAGGAUGGACCCGGCGCUGCGGAUCGGUGGCGAUGAGACGCCGUGUCUGUGCAUUGUACGAGGAGCUGCUCACGUGGUUUCGGUCGAGCCAAAAUAUGCUUUCAGAAAAGAGAACAGACCAGAUGUCUUAUUAUUGCCGCUCACAAUGCUGUCCUCCGGGUACAACGAUCCAUCAGGGGGCUGGGCACAGCCCGACAGAAAAGUCCCUGACACGUUUUUACAGCAGGGCCAGGUUCUCACCACUUGUGUGCAUUUGUACCCCUUGACAAAUAGCUGUUUGACUUCGGUUUUGUUCAAAGUCGCGGUGGUGUCAAGCACAGGGCUCCUAUUCAAGUGCCCACCAACGGUGGUCUGCAACUCGCCGUUUCCUCUUCUUUUCUUGCUUUGUUUCCUCGUGACAGUCACUCGGGAACUUUUUUUUUUUUUUAUCUCACAGGGUUUUUGAAAGACAAUCUUAAAGGAUUUAUCCACAGCAAAACAGUGCCUCGACUAAGGACUAAAAAUGGCUUGAGAUUAUAUGGUGUGAGGAAUUCCCAUUUGCAUUGAUAUGUUGCUGACAUGACACUUAAUUGCCUUUUUUUUUUUUUUUUCUUCUUUUCUUGGUAAUUUUCCCAACAAGCUGAUUUAUAGAAUUGGCUGGCAAAGCCUUGCGUACAUUGAGACGUGCAGCUCUUUCUACAGUGGACCGGCUCGUCCUUAAUGAACGGUUCCUCUUAAAACUAGGAGAUGUGCUCCUAACUGCUCUGAGCGCCUUGAGCAUGGAGAAGAAUUAGCACCAGGUUACGAGCUGCGGCGUUUGUCCUGCCGUACCAACCUGCAUCGGUAAGGCGUUGGCUUUAAACUGCUUUCUAAGUCACGUGUGUGCCCGAAGUUGCCUACAGAGAAGGGACCCCAGACGUGCCGCGGGCUGUACGAACACGUAGCGCAAGGACAUCCCGGCCUGCGGCAGCCGGCAGCAGCGCGAGCUCCCAGCGUGCUGCUCACCCCCACGCAGAUCAGUCCGUGCAACCCUGGCUGCACAGUGCCAAUAUAACGUUUUUCCCUAGGUCUCCCGGUUAUUAAAAGUUUGGUUUUAUAAACGAGGAGUUCUUUGUGUUCUCCAGAGUGUGACUUUGCCGUACCUCUCUAGCUGAAGUUCCCCUUUGACUUCAGUGAGCAUUUUUGUGUGCUCAGACAGCAUUUUCCAUCACUUGAGCCUGAAAGGGAAGAGGAUUUAUGGAACGGGGAGCGUGAGGCACCAACUCAGCAAAUACCAAAGCGUGUGUGUAAGCGUUUGCAGGUCGGAGACGUAAGUACACAACUGGUCUUGAUCUUCAGCCACCGCGUAUUGCUGGGUCCAAAGGCUGAGCUGAGAACACGCAACACACACUGCAUAUCGACGUUUUGGGAUGGCUUUUCUAAGGAGAGCUUUCUCUCUGCUGCGAUCUUGCAUCUUCUGAUCACUCUCUGUCCCAGCCUGUUUAGUGGACUUACAGCUACUCAGCACCCUCGGCAGAUGCUGAACGUCACAUUGUCGGUGCAGUAGCUUCGUUAUCAUCUUAUGGUCUUAGUCUCCAUUCUCUUGGAGAAUUUUGGCAAGUACGUUGUGAUGUAUCUGACCUAGCAUUGUUUCUCUCCUCCUGACCUGUUGAUGUCCCCCAGCUACGGGUCAUCGUUACGGAGGUCUUUGGUGGCCCUUCCCAUGCUCUUACACCCCAGCCUUCAAAGUCGUCUCUCAGCAGAUUGCUUCUUUCUAGCUGGGCAAAGCCUGGGGGGGGUCUUGUGGCAGAUAACGUGAGCGUCUCAACUGGUAAUUGUGAAGUCAGGAUCUGUAAUUAAUUUUUCUAUAAAACUCUCUCAACCUUAAGGUGAACCUUUAUCCACCUAUUAAUUAGCACAGGGAAGGGAUGCACUUGUCUAGAAGCAGAAGGUAAAAAUAGGAGCAGGGAGGAAAGAGAAUUGGCUCCUUUGAGUGAUAAAUAUUGUUCCCUUCGUGUCUUAAAUAAAAUGAGAGUUUGGCUAAAAGCAGCGUGGCUUUAACUCUCACAAACACAGACUUAAAAAGGAUUGGAGAAAAUAGUCCUGGAACAGGCACCAGAGACCCCAUCCAGCAGAUUCCUCUCGUUCCACGGCAAACUCAACGAUACCUGUGUGAUUCCGUGUACGCGUUUGUUUAACCUGUUUCUGGGACUGUCGAAAUGUUCUUUCUUUGCAAACACGAGGCUCAGGAGCACACACAGUCGCUUGGGUUCUCGGCUUGACCCCCGUGAGUUGCGGCUUUGGGAAAAGCACCAAAUAUCGCAAAAGCUGUUAACACUUCAUUAUUUGCAUAUAUUUUUUUUUUCUCUUUAACGGCAACAUGGAAGCAGUUUAAAAAUCCUGCUGUGGAGGGCUCUGUCAGAGAAUAGAUUUUACUUCCCCCCCCCCCAACAAAUCUUCAUGCGGAAUUGAUUAUACAGUCCUAUGUGCUACAGCCCUCUGUGGAAGGAGAACUUGAUGUACCUCCAUCCACAUCUGCGGGCGGCAGGACUUGUUCUGCCAGAUUCAAAGGAAAGAGAAGAGUCCCCUAAGGAUGAGAGCAAUAUCUAACAAAAGCAGAUCGCGUCUGACAAAUCGUAUUAAUAGUGAGGAUUCAAAGUCUGCUGAGCUGGAGAGCGUGGCAAUACGUCCCCGUAGUAGAUGGUAAGGAGACCUGCUUGAGGAGCAGGCAGCUUUGCCAAAAAAGAAAUGCAGGUUAAAGAGAAGUCAAAGUAGAUAGUCAAAAUGUUUGUUGGUUGGCUGGACUAGCUUAAAAAAAAAAAAAAAGGCAAUUUCAGUUGAUUCUGUUGAAGGCUUUUCUCUUGGGAGGAAAGGUAGAAAUGCUUUUGAUCCAACAUCUUUCAUUUGCCCUGAAGAACUACAUUUUUUAAGACUAACAUGCGAAAAAAAAGAACCAAAAACCCAAACCAACCACAACGGGGUUGUGUUUUGGUUUGGUUUUUUUUCUAUAGGUAGAAAGUAGCCCAUAGCUGUAUUAGGUGUGACCGUAAUCUAUCGCUAAGCACAGCCCGGGGUGGUAGGCUAACAGCAGCUCAAAGAAACGCCGUCUCCACAAGCGAUGGCAACCUGACUUUCCACCUCCCCAUCUGGGCCGACGGCUACCUUCUGAAGACCGUCGCGGCGAUUAAGGGAUGCACUGCUAGUACAUUCCCAAGCCUCCGAUGCUCACGUAUCCCACUUAGAAAGCUAACGGGAGAGUGCCGUGUUGUAACACCGUGAGCUGCUUUGGAGACAUUUAAGUGUAAGUGCAUUAAGAUGAGAUUUAUGUUCACCGCUGAGCCUUGAGAUUUCUUCCAGGAGAUCGCAGCGUGCUUGUAUGUCUUGGCUCUGCAGGUUACAGGGAUGUUGAGAGAUAGCUGAGCUAUCACGGGAGGUUCUGAUUUGUGGGGUUCCUCAAGGCAGGCAGCUUCCCCAGUGGGUGCGAUUUUUUUGCGUGUGUGUUUUUGGUUUGUUUUGUUCAUUGCGCAAUUCCUUGGCAUAACGCCUUUCACCUUGUCUCCAAAUGAUUGUUUUUCCUCUUCGUCCCACUCGGUGACUCAGGUCAAAGGCAUCUUAUUCAGUGCAGUAUGUUUCUUGGGUUCUUUUUUUUGUUUUUGUUUUUUUUUUUUCUUUUCCAGAUGUGCGUGAGCUCUAGGACGAUAACUGGAAUGGAGACAAGUGUUACGAGUGGCUUUGGUGCUCAGCUGCAGUUCUCCCAGAAGGUGAAAGAGGAUGAGGCUUCGAUGCAGUACGGAGGACCCUCACUUUCCAUCCAGCAGCAUUUCAGAUGGAUCCACCACCCAAGCAGUGGCUUCGGUGUACUCUCUGGAAGACGCAGUGAUUCAGCACAGAUCCUCUCUAGAGACGGCCUCACGAAAUGAGGGUUCAAAGUCCAAACCUGGAAACUGCACAGGCCUCCCUACUCGCCUCCCAGCUGUUGCUAAACUCAUCCAGAAGCUGGUCUGAGCGGGAUGUAAAACCCUCGGUGCCCAGUGCGUCGGUCUGUGAGAUCAACCCUGGCUUCUCCUGCCCAGGUCGCUGCCACCAGCUCUGCCCAGCCCCAGGGCUGGCCCCAGUUUACCCAGUGGCGGUGAUUGAAACGGACCCGGCGGCAAAGUCUGGGGUGGCUCCUCAACUGCGCUUACGCCGGAGUCAUUUAUUUUGGGUGUCACCUGGUAGAGGAGGACUGAAAAGCUCUGCUCCUGACAGCCGGUACGGACCCUGGCUGAACGGGAUCACGAAUCGCAGCAGGAUGGUGGAGGUGGGAGCAGGACAUCUUUCUGAAGACAGAAGGCUUCAGGGGCUCAAUAGCCUUUGAGGUAUUUUUAAUUGCUUUUAAUAAUUCGCCUCUCCUUUGUUAGCAUCAAGCAAGUUGGAAUCCAGAGAAAAAAAAAAAAAAAAUCUCAUUGCUUGGCAAAUUCCCUGAGAGCCUGCCCCGGCUUUUUGUCCGAGGACACCUGAAGGCUCGCUUCCUCCCUCCCAUCAUCUUUCGGCGGGAAAAAGCGGUGAUGGAGGAGACGGGCCAUCACCUCCAUCGGCGGGGCCACCCGGCAGGUCCCCGCGCCCGGAAACCAGGGCAGCGCUUGGGGCUCUGCCUGCUUUGUGUUCCCCUCCCCGAUCCCAGGCCUCCUUCUGGGCUGCGCAGAGGGGCUGGAGGGCUCCCGGAGCCUGCGCGCCGUCUCCCAGCGAUUUCCGGCACUCUCUAGGGCUGCUUUGCCUUUCUUUUUGGUCACGCCAGCCCACCCUAAUGAGCAAUUCUGCCUUGCAGUUGACUUUUCUUCCAGGCUGCUCGAUUUUGGAGGUUGCAAAGAGGCAGAAAAUCUGCAAAAAUUUACUAAAGAGGAAAAAUGUUUAAUAAACCCCUAAAUCGAUGCAAAUUCUGUGGUGCUCUGGAAACGCUCCGCGGUGCGAACAAGCGAGGAUGGGCUAGCAAACUCUGGGCACCUGCCAGAUGCCAUAUUCUCUUCUAACUCCGGAUUUUAUGAAUACAACUUCACUCCAGGCUGAAUAUCCCAGCAGAGCUAUCGUCUUAUUAACUAGAGAGGUAAUUCCUCUGUUCCAGCUCUCUGCAGCUGAGCUUAGGGAAUUAUUCAGCGACAGCUCUGCUCUGCAGUCCCACGGCACGGCAAGUGAGGAAAACUGGAGGAAUACUGCAGUUGGGUAACUCUCACCCCCCCCCAAAAAAAGAGGUAAAUAGAGAUAAACAGGUGCUUGGUAAUUUAUAUUUUUAUUUUCCAGAUAAUCACCAGUUUUCUCUUUAUUUCUUCCAAGCUCUGCCUCAAUAUCUCAUAUCCUUUGGAACUCGCUUUGCUGGUUGCGCGUCAUUGCGUCUCUUUUGUGGCGUUGUUUUUACCUGUUAAAAAUAGGGUUUUUAAAAGCGGAUUUUUCUUUUUCUUUGCCUGCUCUUCGCCUCGUAAAAGACUCGUUGCCAAGUGUUUGAACCUCUGCGUCAAUCAACAGUAUUUUCUGCAUCUGAAAAGGAGAAUAAUUUGAAUUCAAAUGUGACUUCAAAACUUAGAGUUUUGGGGUUCCCCCCCACCACCCAGGGUUUGAAAUAUAUGUAAUUUUAAGAGCGUUUCUUAUAAGUACUUACGUCAAAGUAACUUGUAACUACAAUCUUUUUUUUUUUUUUUUUUUUUAACAGAAGGUUGAAAUUAGUGAUAACGAGACUUCUGGACAACUUCACUUGAAACGUCGCUACUUUUGAAAGCUGUGGAAAAAAAAAAUCCGGGAAACGCCGUCAACUUUUUUUAGAUGCUUAAUUAAAAAAUAACCGUGAUUCCGGGUAGGGCCUUAUCCAUCCCUAACGCCUUAUAUUGUCACUGGCGAUGGAAACCCAUCCUAGGCUGCUGUUGUCCUCUUCUCCUGGACCUUGCUCAGGAGAGGACUCGCUUCUGGAAGUUCUGCCGCACGUAACCAGAGCUCGUGGCUCUCCUAACUCACUCGGACACAGCCAGCCUUGCGUUUUCCUCGCAGGCUAAUGCCGUGCUAAUUUAAAAACUGCAACACUGAAAGGCAAACAAAGAAGAGGAUUAGACCAAACUAGUUCCAGAGCACACGUCGUACAUACUAAUGUCUUGUUGAAACAGAAGGAGGCUAAAAAAAAAAAAAAUAAAAGUACUGCCCGUGUGCUUUAACGAGGAUGCAAGCUGACUUUCUGAAACCCUGCCUCCUUUUGCCGAUCAGAUAGGUGGGAUUCUGCAUUGCUAACGGGGCCAAGGUAAUGAGAUUAUGGUUUAUCACUUUGGAAAAUAAAGCAGUACCGCUGGAAGAAUACAAUUUAUAGAGGAAUUGGGCUAAAGCCUCAGUACGAUCACUUGACUCUCCUCCUCAGGUUGUUUUGGGGAAGGCAGUGAGCCUUGCAAACGUUUCCGCGUAGACAGCUCUGCGUCUCGAAGCAAAAACCUUCAGCCACUUCACGGCCUGAGUUUCAUCUCCGCCAGACGACAGCCCGAGCAAAGUCGGCUUUGGCGAGAAACAAACACGCAUGUUUCGAAUGCAGCGGCAUGUCACAGAUCUUCUUGACCCAGCCGGGCAGGCUGCGUGGCAGAAAACGUGCGUUCCUUAGGAUUUUCCCCAAAUCCUGCUGCCUGAUCGCUCCGCACCAGCAGGAACAGAUCGUCUGCAAGCAGAGGAGGAAAACCUCCGCGGUGGUCAUCCUGACCGACGCCGCGCACGUCCGUAAGCGGAGCUGUAGCAUCCGCUUGUGUUUCUCGCCUCUGCAGCUCCGAGCAGCGACCGCUCUGCCGUGCGGCAGCAGCACCGGGACCCCGAAAGGCGCAGGGGUUAAGGGAUAGGAAACGCUUUUUCCGGCUCCGCGCCUGUUUCUGGCGGGUUUUAAAAGUAGUUUUACAGUUGCGUUUCUUUAUCUUUGCUCCCUACGAAAUCCCCCGCCAUGCGGAGCGGACAGCGCUGCCGGGAAGAGAAGAGAGAGAUCGAUCUCCGCGAAGGAAGAGCAUUCCCCCGCGGCAGUUGCUGCGAGGUAGCAGAGGGGCUAUCUCAGCCACCCUUAAACUACUAUUUCAGUUGUUGGCAUAACGUGCCUCUGCGGCGGGCUCGGCGGGUGAGGAUUUAACCCUCCCCGCUCGGUUUCCCUACCGGCACGCUGCAGGUCUGGCUUGCAGGGACGCAGCAGCAAGCCGAACUCAGCCUUUAGCAAUCCUUUCGACCCUUCCCUCUCCUGUUUUGCUUUUCGCAGGCGGGAAAAUAUUUGCAAGAGGGCAUCGGGCGAAAGGUGGCUUGCUUUCGCUCUGACGCAGGCCGUGUACGCGGCUCCUCGGGACUGGCUCCCCGGACCACCAAAGUCAGUGGUGCGAGUCCUGCCGUCACUUAGGGCUUUGCUGGACUUGCCGGUGACCGGAGGAUGCGUGGGCUGUAGCGUCCGCGCGAGAAAUUCCGGACGCUUAAGGAUUUUUGACUGAGUGAUUUUUGGAAAACGUUAGCUACGGCUUGGCAUCCUGCCUAAUCGCUCCUCCUGGAGGAUCCGUAAUUUGCUCUGUUUGGGGAAUUCGGGGGCUUCCCCCCUCCCAUGUCCAAUUUUUAUUUACAGAACCUCGUACCGAUCUAAGAGCUGACGGGUGGUGCCAGCUUUCCAUUAGCAAGCUAACGGUAAUCCCCGCUUCUCGCUUUAUCCAAACAAACCCGGUGCGCCACAUUCCUCCUGUCUGCUGCCGCGGUGGAGACGCGGUCCCGGGAAAGCCGAAGCGCGAUGCGAAAAGAAGCGAGAUAGGAGAGAGGGGAAGAGCUGGUGCUCCGGUGCAAACAUCUGGUGAUACUGGUCCUGCUGCUCCCUUGGGUGGCAAUUUGAGUGCAAACGCUCUAGUGAAGCUCUUGGAAACUCCUUUUGGGGUUCAGGGUUGUUUUGAAUCCCUUUUGCUCGUUUGUUUUUUAUUUUUGAUUUGCAGCACGUUAAAGCCGAGCCAUGAAGCCCCGGGUGUCAGCUUCCCCUUGGGGGACUCUCCUGGUCUCCUCACCCUCCGCUCAGGAGCAGCGUUUAAAAUCCCGGAGGAGUUUUAAAUACGAACGCGCGUGGGUUCUUCCUUUUCCAGUUCACAGCUUUCAAAGAGGCAGGGUGGGUUUCCCCCUCCCUUUAGCAGAGAAAGCCAGGCUUCUCACCCGCAAGUCAAGAACAAAAGAUUUUAAGAUACAAGUAUCAAAGCAGAGAUUUGAAUUAAAGGGCUCGGCGCUCAGCGCUCAGCUUUUCUCCCCCUCUCCCCCAUCCUCACUAGGUCUCAGAUGAGGCACUUGGGAUUUCUCAGCAUCUUCCCGAAGCCCGAGGCUUUCCGUGGUUUAUCCUCGCCAGCCUCACUGCAAGCACCACUGUCCUACUCGAGCAUAAAUCCCCGGAAUCUAUGAGGCGGGAAUGGGAUUUGGGGUCAUUAAAUGGCGGGUAGCUGCUAAAACCAAACCUUGGCUGGUGGGAAGCAGGUAGGGCUGAAGCAUCUUCCCCUCUGGCCCGCAGGCGCCCGCGUCAGUUGGACGUGCCGUCAUUGCGCCCUGCGUCCCACGGUUUGGCUGUCACCCCUUCCAUCUCCCUCCUGACGAGCGGGGGGUUGCAGGGUGCCCGUCAGGGCGGGAUUUGCCCUUUCGUGUCAGUAACUUCCCCGACGGCCUUUUUGCGCUUUCAUCUCCUGGCUGUUACUGCCGAUUUAUGCAAUUUGGGGCGCCGAGCGAUGCGGCAGCUGUGGGGAGGAGAUGAGAACCAGAAACCUCACAGGCUUCCUAGGAGACUUCUCCAGGGAUAAAUCUGGGAUGGAGGAAAGCCUGCCCUGAUCCUCUGUGCGUGCUUCGGUGUGUCGGGAAAGGACCGCACACCCUGACGACGCUCUCCAAAAGGAGACGUCGCCUCUUUGUUUCUUUCCUCCGCGGCUUUUUGGGAUGCUGGAGCCUUACGACCGCGUUGGCUGGAAGAUGCCAUUGAGUCGACGCUCAUCUAACACAUUCAGCUGUCAACGGCUCUCACCGGACGUCAUUCUCCCUCCGUCACGCAUGAGCACUUGCAUGUCGAGCUCCCCGGGCACGGGCUGGAGCCCACGGGGGAUUACAAAAGGACCGGGGAUUACAAAGAAAUGUGGUAUCUGUCAAGGCGGAGACUGCGCGGCUCUGAUCAGCGAUUAGAGCCACGCGGUGCGAGGGGCCGUACAAAUUGCUGCCGAUGGAGAUGUUCUCUGCCCUAUACAUUUUUUGCGGUGCUUGGCUGUUAAUCUCACCGUGGGGGCUCCAGGGCGUUUCUGCCAUCGCUGUUGAAGGCGGGAGAUGUUUGCUGAGUUAUUCCUUGUGCGGCAUGAGGCUGGCGUGGCUUCAGUGCGUAAGUUGAAGUUCAGAGUGAAGCAGCCACGAGGAGAUAGUGCCCUGCUGAUUUCUGGUUCCGGAAUGCCUGCGGUCUAUUCAUUUCUGGGGGAGAAGAAAAAAAAAAAAAAAAAAAGAGAGGUGAGUCAAAAUGAAGAAAACUGGUGCAAUCUUGCCCGGGCCUGGGGAGCCGUGUCCCAUCUCUUCAUGUGAUGCCAUGAGGCAGAUAUGGCUCGUCCAUCACUCCGAGGCAUGUGUCUAAGCCUUCUAAUUAGCGAACAUAACCGGAGGUUUGGAGCUUAAACUGGUUCUGACCUGUAUUUUUUAAUUAAGGCUUUUUUUUAAUAUAACCCCUGCUUCAGGUCAUCUGGUAAUUCUAAUCUGGACAGAAUGCCUAACCUUCUUAACCCUCGAUUGUUACGUCUGCGCUUUUAAUGCCAGUCUUAAAGAAACAUUGCCCCAUAAAUUAGACGCCAGGUAUUAAAGAGGAACAGAACCGCCUGCGAAUUAAAAUGCUCUUCAGGAAUAAUUGGACGGACCCUGAAGAUCGGCUCCCAGCUGACGUUCUCGUAAAAGCACAAAAUACUUGUGUUCCCCUUGUUAACGCUGCCUUGCUCUCGUUUGGUCUGCUUGCCCGUGGGGUCAACAGAGGGGGGGGUCCCGUCUUCCUAUUGCCUGAUAACGACUCAAACGGGGCAGGGUUAGUAUCUCCAGAUGCUUUUUGGGAUCGUUUUCAGCUGGCUGAUGGCCACCUAUUCCACUUGUCUCUUGGAAAGAGGAGAUUUUUUGAUAAGCCUAAGAGCACUGCAGAGGAGACCCUCGUUCCUAUCAGCAGACGGGACAACCGAGCAAGUCGAGGGAUUAACGAAAGAAAACCAAGCGCUGCGCAAUUUUAUGAGCGCCUUUUUAUGGGUUUUUACUUAUCCUGUAUUGUUCUGCGUGUAGCAAUAUCAUGCUGAGAAUCACAAGGAGAAAUGCUAAUUCAGUGUUUUUAUAUAGGGGAAACAGCAUGCUAAGUGCAUUCCUUAAGUCAGUCCAGAAACCGCCUCCUGGAAAAAAAGUCAUGAAAAGCACAUGUAACGCCUUGUCAAGCUCGGCUCUUUCAUCUGGGAUAGCUAAAAUAUUUUCACUGGGGGAAGAAAGGUUGCUGGGUGGUUGGUUUGUUUGCCUGUUUCUGGAUAAAGAUCUUCUGAAGGUGGGAAAGCCCCCGUCUUCCAUCUGACAGGCGGGAAGGUGCUCUCCAGUGCGGCCCCUGGGCAUCGUUUGGGCUGUGAUUUCCUAGAGGAGCCGAUAACAAAAUAUAGAGAGAUCCAGAGAGAGAGGGGCACAAUUUCUUUCCUUGCUUACUAAUUCUGGUAGCUUUCUUACGAGUAAGCAGCAUAGCGUAUCAGGCAGAGGAAAAACUUCCUCAUCUCGAAUGUCAUGAAAAGAAAUUGAGGAAUGGAAAGAACAAACAAUUUGGGUGAAAGAGCCUCCUAACUCCAAACCAUCCCCACCAGUUCUCCAUAGUACAGCGUUUCAGCCAUUCACAGCUCAAUUUACCACCUAUUUGAUGGGGGAAGUGUUUACGACACAUUCUCCGCAUUCCUUUACCAGAAGUGCUGUAAAAUUGGA